AAUAGAUACCCCGGUAGUCCACGCCGUAAACGUUGGAUACUAGGUGUGGCGGUCUACCAACGACUGCCGUGCCGAAGCUAACGCAUUAAGUAUCCCGCCUGGGGAGUACGGCCGCAAGGCUAAAACUCAAAGGAAUUGACGGGUCCCCGCACAAGCGGCGGAGCAUGCGGCUUAAUUCGAUGCAACCCGAAGAACCUUACCUGGGUUUGACAUCAUGGGAAAAGCCGUAGAAAUACGGUGUCCGAAAGGGCCCAUGACAGGUGGUGCAUGGCUGUCGUCAGCUCGUGUCGUGAGAUGUUGGGUUAAGUCCCGCAACGAGCGCAACCCUUGUCCUAUGUUGCCAGCGGUUCGGCCGGGGACUCAUAGGAGACUGCCGGGGAUAACUCGGAGGAAGGUGAGGACGACGUCAAGUCAUCAUGCCCCUUAUAUCCAGGGCUGCACGCAUGCUACAAUGGCCGGUACAACGGGAAGCGACCCCGCGAGGGUGAGCGAAUCCCUUAAAGCCGGUCCAGUUCGGAUUGAAGUCUGCAACUCGACUUCAUGAAGCC
rnacentral:rRNA from 1 species